GUCAGGAGAUCUGAAUUGUUAUGCUGCUGCUCUGUGAGGUAUGACAGUUAACAGCAUGUUAGUCUGAUGGCA
ensembl:snoRNA SNORD28 Small nucleolar RNA SNORD28